AUCCUGGCUCAGGAUGAACGCUAGCUACAGGCUUAACACAUGCAAGUCGAGGGGAAACGACAUCAAGAGCUUGCUUUUGAUGGGCGUCGACCGGCGCACGGGUGAGUAACGCGUAUCCAACCUGCCCACCACUUGGGGAUAACCUUGCGAAAGUAAGACUAAUACCCAAUGAUAUCUCUAGAAGACAUCUGAAAGAGAUUAAAGAUUUAUCGGUGAUGGAUGGGGAUGCGUCUGAUUAGCUUGUUGACGGGGUAACGGCCCACCAAGGCGACGAUCAGUAGGGGUUCUGAGAGGAAGGUCCCCCACAUUGGAACUGAGACACGGUCCAAACUCCUACGGGAGGCAGCAGUGAGGAAUAUUGGUCAAUGGGCGAGAGCCUGAACCAGCCAAGUAGCGUGCAGGAUGACGGCCCUAUGGGUUGUAAACUGCUUUUAUAAGGGAAUAAAGUGAGAGUCGUGACUCUUUUGCAUGUACCUUAUGAAUAAGGACCGGCUAAUUCCGUG
rnacentral:rRNA from 1 species